rnacentral:rRNA from 1 species
GACGGAGGAUGCAAGCGUUAUCCGGAAUGAUUGGGCGUAAAGCGUCCGCAGGUGGCAGUUCAAGUCUGCUGUCAAAGACCGGGGCUUAACUUCGGAAAGGCAGUGGAAACUGAACAGCUAGAGUAUGGUAGGGGCAGAGGGAAUUCCUGGUGUAGCGGUGAAAUGCGUAGAGAUCAGGAAGAACAUCGGUGGCGAAGGCGCUCUGCUGGACCAUAACUGACACUCAGGGACGAAAGCUAGGGGAGCGAGUGGG